rnacentral:rRNA from 1 species
GACGAACGCUGGCGGCGUGCCUAAUACAUGCAAGUCGAACGAAACUUUCUUACACCGAAUGCUUGCAUUCACCGUAAGAAGUUGAGUGGCGGACGGGUGAGUAACACGUGGGGAACCUGCCUAAAAGAAGGGGAUAACACUCGGAAACAGGUGCUAAUCCCGUAUAUCUCUAAGGAUCGCAUGAUCCUUAGAUGAAAGAUGGUUCUGCUAUCGCUUUUAGUUGGACCCGCGGCGUAUUAACUAGUUGGUGGGGUAACGGCCUACCAAGGUGAUGAUACGUAGCCGAACUGAGAGGUUGAUCGGCCACAUUGGGACUGAGACACGGCCCAAACUCCUACGGGAGGCAGCAGUAGGGAAUCUUCCACAAUGGACGCAAGUCUGAUGGAGCAACGCCGCGUGAGUGAAGAAGGUCUUCGGAUCGUAAAACUCUGUUGUUAGAGAAGAACACGAGUGAGAGUAACUGUUCAUUCGAUGACGGUAUCUAACCAGCAAGUCACGGCUAACUACGUGCCAGCAGCCGCGGUAACAC